GCAGCCAAUCAAUGAUUCUCUCUCAUCAUUGAUGUUUCUAUCUCUUUCCCCCUCUUCCUUCCUCUCUGAAAGUAAUAAAAAUAUUUUUUAAAAAGAAAAUGAAAUAAAGAUAUUCCCAGAUACACAAAAACUGAGAUAAUUUUUGCUAGUAGUACUUCCUUACAAUAAAUAUUAAAAGAAGUUCUCCAGGAAUAUAUAUUUUUAAUGCAAAACAUGCUCUGAAAACUACAAAGCACGUUUGAAAGUCAGGACCUAAAUAAAUGGAAUGACAUCUCAUGGUCUUGUGAUAGGCCAAUAUGAAGCAGAAGACUUAAUAUUUUUAAGAUGGCAAUACUCUCCAAGCUGGUCUACAGAUUCAACACAAAAGAUACUCAAUAUUGUUAGUCAUCAGGGAAAUGCAAAUCAAAACCACAAUGAGCUACUUCUUAACACCAUUGGAAUAGUUAUAAUUAAAAAGACAGAAGUAACAAAUGUUGGUAGGAAUAGGGAGACUGUGGUGAUAGAGCAGAAUAAUGCUGCUAUGUACACAAACGUUCAUAGCAGCAUUAUUCAUAGUAGCCAAAAACAGAAACAACCCAAAUGUCUAUCAACCUAUGUAUGAAUGGUUAAAUAAAAUUCGAUAUUUCCAUACAAUGGUAUAUUAUUCCACCAUAAAAAGGGAUGAAGCACUGACACGUGCUACCACAUGGGUGAAUUUUGAAAACAUACUUAGUGGUGG